rnacentral:pre_miRNA from 1 species
AUCGUCGCUGUUAUUGCAAAAUGUUCUAUGUCAUCGAAAAUUGAUUUUGAGAUUUUGAUUAUAGAUUCAAAGUACGAAAUAUAUAUUCGAUGACAUAGAACAUUUUGCAAUAACAGCGACUAC